CCAAGCCAACCCACCAACAAAGACUUUGGUGUAGGUGGUGUCUCCGAACUGGCCUGCUAAGUUAGCUGGAGUCAUCUUUCUCUUCCAAUACCUCUCUCUCCCUGGAUUAGAGUUUCUUUUCUCUCUCUGUCUCUUUCUCUCUGUGGAUGUAUGGUGAGGGUUUCUCUUUGUCCAACCUUGGAAGUUAGCUAGCAAAACUUGGUGGGUGGGUGUGUGUUUUGUUUGGUUAAAUGGCGAAGGGGAAUUGGAGUGGAUCUAAGUUAAGGAAGAUGGAAGAGGAAGAGAGGAAGGGUGGGGGGAUUUGGAGGGUUUUAUCCAAUUUUUUGGAGGCGAAUUUGGUGGAGAUGGAAAGAGAAUUAGGUCAGAGAUCUAGAGUAUAGAGAGAGAGAGACAGAGAGAAAGAGAGGGAGAGGGAGAGAGGGAAGGAGGAGGGGGAGGGAGAGAGAAGGGAGGAGAGAAUUAGAAAAGAAAAGAGGGAGAGGGGGAGGGGGGGAGAAAGC
rnacentral:lncRNA from 1 species